GUUAAUCAAGGAGAAGUAUUCUCGGAAGGAGCAGCUGUGCCAGGGCUGUGAGGUGGAGGGAAUAGAGGUGGGAACAGUGGAGGGAAAGGAGGAAUAGGGAAAAUUGGUGCUGGUGGUGGAGGUGGUGGUGGUGAUGGAGUUAAACCUGGUAUUACUAUUGGUGGUAAAGGAGGAAAAAAGGAUGGCGGUGGGCUGGGUGGAGGCUGGAAUGGGUUAGGAAUGAGGGGUGCACGUGGGCUUGGAGGAGGCUGGAAUGGGUUAGGGAUGAGGGGUGGUGGGCUUGGUGGCUGGAAUGGGUUGGGAAUGAGUGGUGGGCUUGGUGGUUGAAAAGGGUUGGGAAUAAGAGGAGGUGGUUGAAAGGGGUUUGGAAUGAGGGGAGGAGGCUGAAAUGGAUUAGGAAUCAAUGGUGGUGGAAAAAAUGGAUUUGGAGGAAAAAAGAAAUCUUCAGCUAAAUCUUUAUUUGAUUGAGGUUUGUCUGAACUUUUAGUUGGAUUGGAUUUGAACACUGUA
rnacentral:lncRNA from 1 species